rnacentral:rRNA from 1 species
UAGGGAAUCUUCCACAAUGGACGCAAGUCUGAUGGAGCAACGCCGCGUGAGUGAAGAAGGUUUUCGGACCGUAAAGCUCUGUUGUUGGUGAAGAAGGAUAGAGGUAGUAACUGGCCUUUAUUUGACGGUAAUCAACCAGAAAGUCACGGCUAACUACGUGCCAGCAGCCGCGGUAAUACGUAGGUGGCAAGCGUUGUCCGGAUUUAUUGGGCGUAAAGCGAGCGCAGGCGGAAGAAUAAGUCUGAUGUGAAAGCCCUCGGCUUAACCGAGGAAUUGCAUCGGAAACUGUUUUCUUGAGUGCAGAAGAGGAGAGUAGAACUCCAUGUGUAGCGGUGGAAUGCGUAGAUAUAUGGAAGAAUACCAGUGGCGAAGGCGGCUCUCUGGUCUGCAACUGACGCUGAGGCUCGAAAGCAUGGUAGCGAACAGGAUUAGAUACCCUGGUAGUCCAUGCCGUAAACGAUGAGUGCUAAGUGUUGGGAGGCUUCCGCCUCUCAGUGCUGCAGCUAACGCAUUAAGCACUCCGCCUGGGGGAGUACGACCGCAAGGUUGAAAC